GUGUCUGCUACAGGUGUGCGUGAGUGCACAGCCGUGGCCCACGUUUGUGCUGGGGUGGCUACCAGCUUCCCAUGCAAAAGUUCCAGUAAAACAGCUGGUCAAUGUCUCACUUAGCUAUCGUCAGAGAAACUUCCUCCUGCAGAAGACGGGAACUAACACAGAGACCCACAACUGGACAAUGCACUGAGAGUGAGAGACACUGGAAGACUCAGUCCUAAAUGGGAUCUCUCCAUCAAAUCCCUCCACUUAGGGCUCAGGAAACUGCAGAAAAAGAGAAAGACUCUAAGAGCCAGAGGGGAUGAAUGAUACCAAUAAACUCUUUCCCAGAUACAA